rnacentral:rRNA from 1 species
ACAGAUCGUUCAGAUUUGAUCCUGGCUCAGAGUGAACGCUGGCGGUAGGCCUAACACAUGCAAGUCGAACGGCAGCACAGUAAGAGCUUGCUCUUAUGGGUGGCGAGUGGCGGACGGGUGAGGAAUACAUCGGAAUCUACCUUUUCGUGGGGGAUAACGUAGGGAAACUUACGCUAAUACCGCAUACGACCUUCGGGUGAAAGCAGGGGACCUUCGGGCCUUGCGCGGAUAGAUGAGCCGAUGCCGGAUUAGCUAGUUGGCGGGGUAAAGGCCCACCAAGGCGACGAUCCGUAGCUGGUCUGAGAGGAUGAUCAGCCACACUGGAACUGAGACACGGUCCAG